CCUACGGGAGACAGCAGUGGGGGAUAUUGCGCAAUGGGGGAAACCCUGAUGCAGCGACGCCGCGUGUGGGAAGACGGUCCUCUGGAUUGUAAACCACUUUCCCCAGGGACGAAGAUGACGGUACCUGGGGAGGAAGCUCCGUCUAACUACGUGCCAGCAGCCGCGGUAAUACGUGGGGAGCGAGCGUUGUCCGGAAUUACUGGGUGAAAAGGGAGCGUAGGGGGGGAUGAAAGUUGGGUGUAAAAACUACCGGCUCAACUGGUAGUCGCACUCAAAACUGCAGCUCUUGAGUGAAGGAGAGGCAGGCGGAAUUCCUAGUGUAGCGGUGAAAUGCGUAGAUAUUAGGAGGAACACCAGUGGCGAAGGCGGCCUGCUGGGCUUUUACUGACGCUGAGGCUCGAAAGUGUGGGGAGCAAACAGGAUUAGAUACCCCGGUAGUC
rnacentral:rRNA from 1 species